GACGAACGCUGGCGGCGUGCCUAAUACAUGCAAGUCGAACGCUUCUUUCCUCCCGAGUGCUUGCACUCAAUUGGAAAGAGGAGUGGCGGACGGGUGAGUAACACGUGGGUAACCUACCCAUCAGAGGGGGAUAACACUUGGAAACAGGUGCUAAUACCGCAUAACAGUUUAUGCCGCAUGGCAUAAGAGUGAAAGGCGCUUUCGGGUGUCGCUGAUGGAUGGACCCGCGGUGCAUUAGCUAGUUGGUGAGGUAACGGCUCACCAAGGCCACGAUGCAUAGCCGACCUGAGUGGGUGAUCGGCCACCCGGGGACUGAGACACGGCCCAGACUCCUACGGGAGGCAGCAGUAGGGAAUCUUCGGCAAUGGACGAAAGUCUGACCGAGCAACGCCGCGUGAGUGAAGAAGGUUUUCGGAUCGUAAAACUCUGUUGUUAGAGAAGAACAAGGACGUUAGUAACUGAACGUCCCCUGACGGUAUCUAACCAGAAAGACACGGCUAACUACGUG
rnacentral:rRNA from 1 species